CACCAGAUGACCUGAAUAGCACUUUAUGUUGUGCUGCACUGCUGAAAUCUUGAGGACAGUUAACCUGCUCUGAUCUUAACUCUUUUUGUGAAUGUUAGUAGAAUGGCUUCUGUCUGUCUAAGAGAUAUUUUUAGCUUUUAUUGUUCUGGGACGUUAUUGUGGAAACAGAUGAACACAGAAGACGUGUUUUGGUCGACAUUAUCCAUCUUGUAACCGAAAUAAUUCCAGAUAACUGACUUUCCUUUUCUUUUUGGCAACAAGUCAUCUUCCUUGGUUUUCUCUGUGUGUUGCUCAGUUUGCGAUCGUUGUUGUUGUUGUUAACGGGGUUGAGCUGAGAAACGCCUGUCCUCUGAGAAUUGCAUGCACCUCUGCACCUCACAAAACGCGCACUGCUUAUAGUAGAGUGGUCCACGGAAAUGUACAAUUUAAAACCCAUACAGUUCUUAUUUGUUGGGCUAAACAGCGAUGAAGAAUGUUCUGAAAGUAAUUCUCAGCGGACACGCGUUUCUCGGCACAACUCCAGUAGCACCAGCGAUUCCCUCCAAGUGCAGGACAUGUGCAGGGGUGGGUUUCCUCCUCUUUGAUUUUGAUUGACAGCUGGCAGAGUAGUCUGAUUGGCAACUAAGAACUGAGUCUGAUUGGCAACUGAGUAAAGAAUGAAGGUGAUUGGUGGAUCGCUGCACAGCACAUGCAGAGUCACAUGCAGUGUAUCUCAGUCAGUUACCCUUGAAAUUAACUGAGUUCAUUCACCUCCGACAUCGCAGGCUCUGCGAUGUGACUAUCGCACACACAUACAUCGCAAUGACGAUGCUCAAACGAUAUAUCGUGCAGGCCUAC